AGAAGGCUUUUUUCCACAUGAAAAAUGGUUUCAUUGGACAGUGACACUUCAUUAGCUGUCGACUUAAGUCUGGUUUGGAUCUUGCCUUUGUAGCGAAUUUCAGCUUUAAAAGAAAUACAGGCUGUGGUCUGCAUGCCACACGUGGUUUGUCAGGUCACUUCCAGUAGUUCUUCCCAUUUACAUCACAAGUCCAUGUAGGUGUAGCAGGGAGUUCACAGAACUGAGGAGCACUCUGCGCUGGCCCACACCAGUUUGUCCAACAAUGAGACGGGGCUGGUUUCUCUAACCAUUCUCCUUUUGCCAUUUCACAGUUUGGCUGCUGUUCUCAGUCAGCAACGGGUAUCUAUCUUCAAACCACAGUGACACACGAGGACAGUUUGAGCAUGAGUGCUGUCACUGUCGCGAAUGGAAGAGCUCAGAUUUUCCACUCACAGAUUCACCCUAACAAAGAUUUUUUUUGAGCCAUGGAUUUGUGCAUGUUUCCCAUUGCCAGAAGCCAACAGCUGUGAAACAGCUCACUCCCAAGUUCGGGAAGCUAAGGCAAUAAACCAGUGAUAAAACCUGUUUCCUCCUCCUCCACAAAGAGAUUCCUGCAAUUUAAGACAGGUGUUGAUGAUCAAGGUUGAAUCUACAUCAGCUUCAAGCAAUACAGGAAGAAAGAUUGGUUUUCUGCCACGGUCCCAGGCUGUGGGACUGCCGAUGAAAUCACAGCCACCAAAAGCACCUGUUGGCACAACAGUCAUGACUUCAUUUGCACUCCACAUAAAGAUGCUGAAGAGAAGCAGAGAGAACCAGUCCUUAUUUAUUUUUAGAUGGAAUACCCAGUGCAGAAAAUAGUUACUACUCUAUCAGUGGCUUCUGAAAAGUUGUGAAUUUAUAGUCCAUGCUUUGCCAAGGCUGUCAGAACUGAGCUCGAUGGCAUAGACUUUAAGAAAAAAUAGUACAGCUUUUCCAUUGUUUAAGAAAAAAACAAAAACAAAUAAGAAACAGAGAAAGAGGGCAGGAGACUCACAAAGACUGUAGAAAGGACAAUCUGUGUCAGGACUGUACAGAAAGAUAUGAACAAAGGGAGCAAUCUGCAACAUGACGAAGGUUUGUACUGAUUCUAUGAAGUCCAGCUACCGACCUACAGAAGUGACAUUCACCAGUUUCUUGCUUCAUUGGUAAGACAGACAUUUUGUCCUCCAUCCAAAUGGGUAGUGGUCUCUUGUUUGAAACCAGAACAAUUUCCUGGUGAUGAGAAGCAAACACCUACAACUUAAGUGGAAGGCUUCUGUUUAAGCUAGGGACUAGGGAGCAGAAAUAAAAUCACUGCUCAAAAUACGCAUCACAAUCAUAAUCCACAGACAUUUUUCUGAGACAAAAAGGUGGACAAUGCAGACCUGUAGGACUAUAUACCUAACCCAAAAACUUCUUCACAGCAGCUAUAUUUUCCCAUCGAGUAUACAGUGAGAAGAAAGUUCCCGCUCCUAGUUCACAUGAGAAGAAAUAAGAAGACAAAUUAUAUUGAUGGCCAAUACUUUUGUAUGCAUUGCACCUACUCUGUAGUCUGGUGCUAACAGGGCUCGCUUUCCAACACCACUAAUAAGUUACCUCCGUGUUUAAAGAUUAAAAGCCAGGAUGCAGGAAGGAAUACUUAUUACUGCACAGUAUUUUACCACUGAACUUGUAAGCCAAGUAUCAGACUCAGCUACACAACAGUACUAAAUUUCUAACUUUUCCUGCCUGAUGUAUCUUUCAUCAUACUCAAGGUUGCCAUACACAAAGAUUAACAGGAGACCGCAUCAUGUCCUGCUCUGAGCUGGUUUGAGCAUGGAGUUACUUGUCCCACAGCAGCACAGCCACAUAGACAAAGCUCUGAGGCAACAUUUGGGUCCAUUUCCCUGAGCUCUAUCACAUAAGGAAGCCAGGCCUAGCUGAUUUCACACUACAGAUUGAAAGAGGUUGGGGAAUUGUUACAUUCAUUCUUAAACUUGAGCAACCAUCAAUGCAAAAAGGGGCAUCAACCACUGCCCACUAUCGUUCACUCAGUGUCACAUCCUGCAUCAGGACUAAGCAUCAUGGUUUACGUCCCCACAUGCCACUUUAAACUGCCUCUGCACUGAGCUGUACACCACUUCCACACCUUCCAUUUGCAUAUAAACACCCACCUUUGUUUAAAGUGUAACUUUAUGGGCUCACAAGGUAGCACUUGGGGCUGGGAUUCAGGAGAACAGAGCACCACACCUAGUGCUCCUUCUGCCCCCAGCCAACAUACUCCUCUGCUUUAUGCCCGUCUCACAGUUAAGGGUGGGUUAUAGUGGUACUCUAUUCCCACACAGACCACCGCGAUUCCUGGGCCAAAAGCACUGUGUAAGAGCUGGACACCAUUACAGUGGUGUCAGAGGGGCAUCAGAGCUGCACUCACAUUUGGUGAACCGCAGGAAACCAAACACCUUCUCCAGCAGUUGUCUACUCAUGGUCAUUACACAACACUGUCACACUCAGUCACCACCAGAAUAGCACAGGAACUGGGGAACACUCAAAUAUGGAGUCACCUCCUCAUACAUCACAGGAACGUUAUGAGGGCUUUAUCUGUUGAUCAUAUACAUUUUUGAGAUACUUGCUUGACCUGAACUACCAAAAUACUAUUUUUAAACAUUCUUGUAUUGCUUUCCAAAUACAGCAUGGCUGAAUGUGAGAAAGCUAGAACAAAACAGAAUUUGGACCUGAUUCUACAAGUGAUAUUUAAGGACUUACUUGUACCAUGAGUUUGAGCUGUAAAUGAAUACUCAGUGCAGAAGAUAGGAAUUACUCUACCAGCAGUUUCUGAAAAGUUAUUAUGGUUCUUUUGCCAAGACUGUCAAGAGCUGAGGAACUCUAUUUUAAGAAAAAAGAAAAAAAAUGUUAGUUUUUCCAUUGUUUAAAACAAACAAAAAACCCAGAAGAAAUACCAAAUGUUCUCUUACAGCUUUUAGUGUGCCUCAGCGUCCAACAGCUUAUAUUAUACAGACAGAUAUGUUUCCACCCCCUAUCCUGCAAAUCUCAACGCCUUCACCAUCCGAACUGAUCCUCUGAGAUUUGGAUCCUUCCCAAGUUCGUUUAACUUGAUCAAUUUUUAAUGGCUGUCACUGGUUAUUUCACCCAGUCAGUCAACAGCUUCUACAGUUCAAAACAGCAGCCACUCUCCUCCCGCUCUGGCGUAACACAGGGCUCAGGAUCUACAGAAAUUAUUCAUCUGCAUCAUAAAGAACUUGAAGGAACUGUAAAAGAGAUUGAUCCCUGACAGCCGCACUAAACUUGAAAGCCCCUUCCUGGCUCUGAAGAAGGAGAAUUCUGACCUGAAAAGGGGUCUUGAGUGAACAGCCUCAAAGGGAAUAAAAUAUUAGCCUGUAAAACCAGCACUCACUAGAAAACUC
rnacentral:lncRNA from 1 species